GCUGCUCUUCUUUCCCAGAAAGGUGGUGGCUCUCCUGACACCAGGACAGUGGCUCCUGGCUCUCCAGGCUGUGCUGCAGUGUAGGACCCUGCUGUGCAAAUCACCAGGGGCUGAGAUUUGCUCCAGGUUGCUGUUAUACCACAAAACUGGAACACUGGCAAAAGGAAGGGUCUAAGACCUGAGAGUGAAGCCUCAGCAGACUCACAGUGCAUGCUGAUUGGAUUCGGAGAAAACUUAGAACUAUUCUCUGAACAGACAAGAUUGGAAAGGACAAACAUUCCUGCUCCCAGGAA
rnacentral:lncRNA from 1 species